ACACACGGAUAACAUACCGAAAGGUAUGCUAAUACGGGAUAAUAUAUUUGAGAGGCAUCUCUUGAAUAUCAAAGGUGAGCCAGUACAGGAUGGACCCGCGUCUGAUUAGCUAGUUGGUAAGGUAAAGGCUUACCAAGGCGACGAUCAGUAGCCGACCUGAGAGGGUGAUCGGCCACAUUGGAACUGAGACACGGUCCAAACUCCUACGGGAGGCAGCAGUGGGGAAUAUUGCACAAUGGGCGAAAGCCUGAUGCAGCAACGCCGCGUGAGUGAUGAAGGCCUUCGGGUCGUAAAACUCUGUCCUCAAGGAAGAUAAUGACGGUACUUGAGGAGGAAGCCCCGGCUAACUACGUGCCAGCAGCCGCGGUAAUACGUAGGGGGCUAGCGUUAUCCGGAUUCACUGGGCGUAAAGGGUGCGUAGGCGGUCUUUCAAGACAGGAGUGAAAGGCUACGGCUCAACCGUAGUAAGCUCUUGAAACUGGGAGACUUGAGUGCAGGAGAGGAGAGUGGAAUUCCUAGUGUAGCGGUGAAAUGCGUAGAUAUUAGGAGGAACACCAGUUGCGGAGGCGGCUCUCUGGACUGUAACUGACGCUGAGGCACGAAAGCGUGGGGAGCAAACAGGAUUAGAUACCCUGGUAGUCCACGCUGUAAACGAUGAGUACUAGGUGUCGGGGGUUACCCCCUUCGGUGCCGCAGCUA
rnacentral:rRNA from 1 species